rnacentral:rRNA from 1 species
UGCGUAGGCGGGAAUGUAAGUCAAAUGUGAAAAACCAGAGCUCAACUCUGGCAGUGCAUCUGAAACUACAUUUCUAGAGGAAUGGCGGAGAAAGCGGAAUUCCACGUGUAGCGGUGAAAUGCGUAGAUAUGUGGAAGAACACCUGUGGCGAAAGCGGCUUUCUAGCUUAAUCCUGACGCUGAGGUACGAAAGCAAAGGGGGAGCAAACA